rnacentral:misc_RNA from 1 species
UACGUAGGUGGCAAGCGUUGUCCGGAAUUAUUGGGCGUAAAGCGCGCGCAGGCGGUCUCUUAAGUCUGAUGUGAAAGCCCACGGCUCAACCGUGGAGGGUCGUUGGAAACUGGGUAACUUGAGUGCAGAAGAGGAUAGUGGAAUUCCACGUGUAGCGGUGAAAUGCGUAGAGAUGUGGAGGAACACCAGUGGCGAAGGCGGCUAUCUGGUCUGUAACUGACGCUGAGGCGCGAAAGCGUGGGGAGCGAACAGG